rnacentral:rRNA from 1 species
CCUUACUGCUAUCGGGGUGGGACUAAGACAUGCGAGUCGAGCGUCUCUAGCUAUGUUGAGACGCGGCAGACGGCUCAGUAACACGUGGCUAACCUACCCUCAGGACGAGGAUAAACCCGGGAAACUGGGGCUAAUACUCGAUAUGUGAGGAUGUCUGGAAUGAUUUCUCACUCAAAGGGCCUUGGAAACAUGCUUCCAUUGUCGCCUGGGGAUGGGGCCGCGUCCGAUCAGGUUGUUGGUGAGGUAAUGGCUCACCAAGCCUAUAACCGGUACGGGCCGUGAGAGCGGUAGCCCGGAGAUGGGUACUGAGACAAGGACCCAGGCCCUACGGGGCGCAGCAGUCGCGAAAACUCCGCAAUGCACGAAAGUGUGACGGGGCUACCCCGAGUGCCAUCCGCUGAGGAUGGCUUUUCCUUGGUAUAACUAGCCGAGGGAAUAAGGAGAGGGCAAGACUGGUGUCAGCCGCCGCGGUAAUACCAGCUCUCCGAGUGGUAGGGAUGAUUAUUGGGCUUAAAGCGUCCGUAGCCGGCUUAGCAAGUCUCCUGUUAAAUUCAGCGACCUAAUCGCUGACCCGCGGGAGAUACUACUAAGCUAGGAGGCGGGAGAGGUCGACGGUACUUCUAGGGUAGGGGUGAAAUCCUAUAAUCCUAGGAGGACCACCAGUGGCGAAGGCUGUCGACUAGAACGCGCUCGACGGUGAGGGGCGAAAGCUGGGGGAGCGAACCGGAUUAGAUACCCGGGUAGUCCCAGCCGUAAACGAUGCGGGCUAGGUGUUGGGGUGGCUACGUGCCACUUCAGUGCCGCAGGGAAGCCAUUAAGCCCGCCGCCUGGGGAGUACGGCCGCAAGGCUGAAACUUAAAGGAAUUGGCGGGGGAGCACCACAAGGCGUGAAGCUUGCGGUUC